rnacentral:rRNA from 1 species
AACGAACGCUGGCGGCGUGGAUAAGACAUGCAAGUCGAACGGGACAAGUAGCAAUAUUUGUCUAGUGGCGAACGGGUGCGUAACACGUGGGCAACAUGCCUGGAAGAGCGGGAUAGCCCGGGGAAACUCGGAUUAAUACCGCAUGUGACAACGGGGCGGAUUCGCCCUGUUUUCAAAGGUGGGGACCGCAAGGCCUGCCGCUUCCAGAUUGGCCCGCGUCCUAUCAGCUAGUUGGCGGGGUAACGGCCCACCAAGGCGACGACGGGUAGCUGGUCUGAGAGGACGACCAGCCACACUGGAACUGAGACACGGUCCAGACACCUACGGGUGGCAGCAGUCGAGAAUCUUUCACAAUGGGGGAAACCCUGAUGGAGCGACGCCGCGUGGAGGAUGACGGUCUUCGGAUUGUAAGCUGCUUUUGUCAGGGAAGAAGUCUUCUGGGCUAAUACCCUGGGAGGAUGACGGUACCUGAAGAAUAAGCACCGGCUAACUACGUGCCAGCAGCCGCGGUAACAC